rnacentral:rRNA from 1 species
UACGAAGGGGGCUAGCGUUGCUCGGAAUUACUGGGCGUAAAGGGCGCGUAGGCGGACAGUUAAGUCAGUGGUGAAAGCCCAGGGCUCAACCCUGGAAUUGCCUUUGAUACUGAUUGUCUUGAGUAUGGGAGAGGUAUGCGGAACUCCGAGUGUAGAGGUGAAAUUCGUAGAUAUUCGGAAGAACACCAGUGGCGAAGGCGGUAUACUGGCCCAUUACUGACGCUGAAGCUCGAAAGCGUGGGGAGCAAACAGG